AUAUAUAAUACAUAACAGAUACGUCGUAGUGAGAUGAGAAAAUUAU
rnacentral:guide_RNA from 1 species